rnacentral:rRNA from 1 species
UACGGAGGGUGCAAACGUUGCUCGGAAUCAUUGGGCGUAAAGCGCGCGUAGGCGGCGGCGUAAGCGGGAUGUGAAAGCCCAGGGCUCAACCCUGGAAGUGCAUCCCGAACUGUGUCGCUUGAAUCUCGGAGGGGGACAGAGAAUUCCCGGUGUAGAGGUGAAAUUCGUAGAUAUCGGGAGGAAUACCAGUGGCGAAGGCGCUGUCCUGGACGAAGAUUGACGCUGAGGUGCGAAAGCGUGGGGAGCAAACAGG